rnacentral:misc_RNA from 1 species
CUGACGUUAAGGUGCUGGGUGCUCCGAAGCGUACAAGCCCGUUACUAUAAAAUGCAACUGCCUAGGUCGUUUAGAUGGGCAUUGGCUCAGUCCAUUUCGUGAAAUUGUGGAUGGUCGUCAAAACAUACGACUUCAUCGACAUACUAUGUUAACAGUGAACUCCAACUGUGGGUCAGUUGGUGCUUUCGAAUUACAAUGAGCAGUGUUAAUUUGGGCGUUAUUUGUUUAUUCACUUAAUUCAAUUUUUGAGCUCUAUCAGUGCUUGUAUUAUUAGAUAUUACGUGAGGCUAAAUACGUUUCUGCACAAUUGUACGUUCGAUACAUGAAAAUUUAUUUAUAUUCAAGGAAUAAUUUCUCCACGUGAAAUGUAUUUGAGAAAUAAUUCAUCAACUUUUGGAUAAGGUUGAAAAAAGCAUUUUGUCUCCGCAACAAAAUUCAAUGCAGGCAUGUAAACAGGUAGCAGAUGAUCCGGAAAGACCAUCUUUCGAACGUAGUAUGUACUUUUAGGGAUAGGACAGGACAGCGAAAAAUUGGUGACUUGGAAAAACGCGUGGUAGAUCAUCUGCCACAUUCCAUUUCCUUUUAGAAACUUCAUUGAAUCACAGUAAUCCCGUGUUAUAUUGGCGCUGUAAAACUUCCGUCGACCUCGGGUUAAAUCAACUUUGAAUACGACACGCAUUGUUUUCAGAUCUUUUCCGAUAUUGAAAAUUGCAUUGAUGGAUCUAUUGUCACUCAGCCAUGUUGUUCCGUUCGCCAUCACCGGAUUGGAGUGAAACUCAACUGAGUUGACAUACAACCAAUUAUUUCACUCGCAUCGUGAGGUGGACUCAGACUUACCAUCGAAGUCCUAUAACCAAUAAAUUCAUUGCAGAAUAAUAGAAACAUAACUUUCA